ACUAUUAUUCUAACAACACAUCC
rnacentral:miRNA from 1 species